AUACGAAGGGUGCAAGCGUUAAUCGGAAUUACUGGGCGUAAAGCGCGCGUAGGUGGUUCGUUAAGUUGGAUGUGAAAGCCCCGGGCUCAACCUGGGAACUGCAUCCCAAACUGGCGAGCUAGAGUAUAGCAGAGGGUGGUGGAAUUUCCUGUGUAGCGGUGAAAUGCGUAGAUAUAGGAAGGAACCCCAGUGGCGAAGGCGACCCCCUGGGCAAAAACUGACACUGAGGUGCGAAAGCGUGGGGAGCAAACAGGAUUAGAUUCCCUGGUAGUCCACGCCGUAAACGAUGUCGACUAGCCGUUGGGAUCCUUGAGAUCUUAGUGGCGCAGCUAACGCAUUAAGUCGACCGCCUGGGGAGUACGGCCGCAAGGUUAAAACUCAAAUGAAUUGACGGGG
rnacentral:rRNA from 1 species